CCGGCAUCAAUGACGGUCUGUCUUCAAACCAGUUCCCUGGUGAGGUAGACCCGACAACCCGGCGUG
rfam:Sarcophilus harrisii ctg7180001719531, whole genome shotgun sequence.